rnacentral:tRNA from 1 species
GCAAGUAUAGUUUCAACCAAAACAUUAGGCUGUGGAUCCUAGAAAUAGAAGUUAAACUCUUCUUACCUGCC